AUUUAAGCUUCAUAUAUAAAGCCAAUUGCUUUUUUUAGAA
rnacentral:tRNA from 1 species